UCUCUGUUUCCCCUCUCUUUCCUUCUAUCCCUCUCUCUGCCUUCUCCUCUCUGUAUCUACAUAAAGGGAACACCAAUCUGUCGAGAAAAUUACAAACCAAAAACAGGCCAAUCUGAAUUCUAAACCCUAGAUUAUUCUCUAAGUUAUGUAUUUUAUUCAAAAUUCUGAUGAAGCAGCACUACUCAAAGUGGCAAAGGAUGUCCUACAUCAUUCAGAAGUGUCCUCCCUUGAAAAAGGAGAGUGUUUAUUGUAUUAACUUUGGAGGAUGUCUCUCAGAGUUGGCUUGGCUUAAUUCCGUUGGCGUUCUAUAGUUUGCGGUGAUAUUCCUCUCCUUUUGUACCUAUUUAAGGUAUCAAAACAUCAUGGCACAAGCUAGCAACAUUAAUCAAAUAAGACCAGCUACACCUGAUUGGACAUGCAAAAUUUAAGUUCUAAACAGAAGUUGAGAACGAGAAAGUUGUGAGAGAAAAGAUAAAAUUUCAGAAUCUUAUGUUACAUGAUGAAGAGAAUUUGUCCAACAGGGAAGCACCAUUUCUCUCAUAGAACUGCAUGCUGCUGCCGAACUGCAAGAUUAGUUGGUAGAAGGAGCCUCUCAAAGAUAUAUUCUAAGUCAAAUGAGGUCAUUAUCUUGUGAAUGUGAAGAUGGGCGGAUCUAUCUAUAUAUAACUAGAUGGGAUUGGCCCGUGCUCCAACAUUUUGGAUUAUAGUAUAUUUCAUUUCGAGAGAGAGUUAAAAAUUAAGCUAAAACAAAAAUAUGUGUAAGAAAACUUAAAUUCAGAAGCAGCAAUACAAAGUUCAAUAGUUGACAAAGUUGACUGAAGCUCUCAUACAACUGCAAUUAAUGUAGCUACCUUCAACCUCCCACAAAAGGAAAGCUGCAUUCAAAGUGCCGUGAAAAGUUUCUACAGGAGGAGUCAAAUCAAAUAUACAACAAAACUUUGUUGCU